UGAUUUGUCCUCAAUGCCUGCAGUCU
rnacentral:piRNA from 1 species